CCUACGGGUGGCAGCAGUGAGGAAUAUUGGUCAAUGGACGCAAGUCUGAACCAGCCAAGUCGCGUGCAGGAAGACGGCUCUAUGGGUUGUAAACUUCUUUUAUAGGGGAAUAAAGGUAGACACGCGUGCAUAUUUGUAUGUACCUUAUGAAUAAGGAUCGGCUAACUCCGUGCCAGCAGCCGCGGUAAUACGGAGGAUGCGAGCGUUAUCCGGAUUUAUUGGGUUUAAAGGGUGCGUAGGUGGUUUGUUAAGUCAGAGGUGAAAGUCUGUGGCUCAACCUUAAAAUUGCAGUUGAAACUGGUAGACUUGAGUGUGGUUGAGGUAGGCGGAAUGCGUGGUGUAGCGGUGAAAUGCUUAGAGAUCACGCAGAACUCCGAUUGCGAAGGCAGCUUACUAAGCUACAACUGACACUGAGGCACGAAAGCGUGGGGAUCAAACAGGAUUAGAUACCCGAGUAGUC
rnacentral:rRNA from 1 species